AAAAAAAUUAAACGAGUCUGAAAAAAAGUAAAUUCUUAAACUAAAACAGCAACAGUUAUCAGUAGCAAAAAUAUCGAAAGUAAUAAGAAGUCGUAGAGUAAUACACAAUUUCUUAAAAAAUGUUGAAGAUUAUGGUAAAAAGAAAAGUACUGGUCGGCCGUCAUCGUUUUCCGAUCGUGAUAAGGGAGCAAUUUUGCGUGUAGCUUCCAACUCGCAGUUAACAACGAAGCAAAUAAUGGAAAAAUCUAGUGUUAGUGUUAGUGUUAGUCUAGCCAGUGUUUCAAAUGUUCGUCGAGUUCUACUAUCUUGCAAAGAUAUUAAGAGGCUAAAAUUGAAAAAGAAACCUUUGUUAACAACGAAACACAAAGCGGAACGUUUACGCUUUGCAAAAGAAAGAAUGCAUUGGAAAAAGAAAUGAAGAAGGGUACUAUUUUCAGACGAAAAAGAUUCAACUUGGAUGGUCCUGAUGGGUUCCAAUAUUAUUUUUAUGACACAAGAAAAGAGACAAUGUCAGCAAUUCGACGAUAAAUGGGAGGAGGCAGCGUGAUGGUUUGGGCCGGCAGCGAUUAUUUUGGCAAGACAAGUAUCAAGUUCAUUGAUGGGAGAAUGAAUAGUGUCUGAUACUUAAAUUUAAUCAAAGAACAAAUAAACAAUCAUGCAGAACGUAUUUCUGGACCUGAUUACAUCUUUCAACAAGAUAAUGCACUUGUAAACACAUCAAGAUGGGUCCAAUUAUAUUUUAAUGAAAAUAAUAUAUUUAUUUUGCCGUAGCCUGCACGCUCCACGGAUCUUAAUAUUAUUGAAAAUUGCUGGGCAGAAUUUGUUCAUGGCAUAUACGCGAAUGGAAAGCAAUAUCAACAUGUACAAGAAUUAAAAAAUGCAAUUGUACGUGAAUGGGAUACGUUGAAUCAAAAUUAUAUCCAGAAACUAUAUAAAUCGAUACCAAAUCGUAUAAUAGAAUAGAAAAUAAAGGGGGAUGUAUCCAUUAUUAAAUAAGUAUAUAUGUUUGAUAAACGAAAAACUUUACACGUGUCAUUGUGAAAUUAAAGAUAGCACACCUGGAUUAUUUUUCUGACGAGGAGUGUAAUAUGAUUAUUAGCUAUGAAUAAAUAGUUAAAUCAUAAAGAUUAAAUCAAGAAAUUCAGUAAUACCUUUUUUUUUUAUGUUAGGUUGGAGGCUAGGUGCUAUAAAGUCAAUAAAUAUGUACUGCUCUAAUUUUUACUUUUAUGAAAUUAAAUUUUGUGAUAAAGAAGAAUUAAAUAUAAUUAAAGAUAGUUAAAGAUUUUAACUAAAUAAUCUCUCAAUUGUAUAUAUAUCUGUACAUUUAUAUUAUAAAAGUAAGAUGAGAAAUACACAAUAUAUACAA